rnacentral:ncRNA from 2 species
UUUUCAUCCAGAGCAGCUGAGGGACUGGCCCCAUGACGCUGCGGCAACCUACAUCAAGAAAGGUGCCAAUUCCAGCGGAUAUAUCCGGCAGAUGAAAC